rnacentral:rRNA from 1 species
AUGAGGAAGCUGUGCCCGAACAAUGACCGCGACGACUCCCUGGACACCGUGCUGGAGGUGCCCAUCCCCGAUGAGAUGCUCGCCAACGCCCCCGGCGCCGACAAGCGCCGGGGCGGCGGUCCCAACAUGCGCGCCUGGCUCAAAACCCAGGCGUUCGACCGCGCCACCGCCGACGGGCCCGCCGCCGCCGCCGCCAACGCCGAGCUCCAGCUCUUCCUCAACGUCGUCGGCUCGCCGCUCAUCCCCUGCCCCGUCCCCCACGACCGCGCCUUCAGCCGCUCCAUCCGCGAUUCCUCCAUCCAAGCGUCGACGGCAAAGUACAUCAUGCAUCAGUACAUCGCCGCCACGGGCGGGCAGGCGGCACUGCAGGGCGUGCAGAGCAUGUACGCCGUCGGGAAGGUGAAGAUGUGCGCGUCCGAGUUCCACCUCGGCGACCAGACCGUCACCGCCGCCCAGGGACGCGCCGAGGUCGGUGGCUUCGUGCUCUGGCAGAAGUGCCCCGAGGUCUGGUACUUCGAGCUCAUCAUGGCCGGUCACAAGAUGAGCGCCGGCAGCGACGGCAAGGUCGCCUGGCGCCAGUCCGCCGCCGAGAACUCCCACGCCUCCCGCGGCCCGCCCCGCCCCCUCCGCCGGUCCCUCCAGGGUCUGGAUCCGCGGUCGAUCGCGAACCUCUUCUCCGACGCAGUAUGCAUCGGCGAGAAGGUCAUCAACGGCGAGGAGUGCUUCAUCCUGAAGCUGGAGGCGAGCGCCACGACGCUGCGGGCGCGGAGCGCGGCGGCGUUCGACAUCAUCCACCACACGGUGUGGGGAUACUUCAGCCAGCGCACGGGCCUGCUCAUCCAGCUCGAGGACAAUCACCUGCUCCGCAUGAAGUCCGGCAAGGGCGCGCGACGCAGCGAGAACAUCUUCUGGGAGACCAGCAUGGAGUCCGUCAUCAACAACUACCGCCACAUCGACGGCGUCAACAUCGCGCACGGCGGCAAAACCACCGUCACGCUCUUCCGCUAUGGCGAGGGCUCCGUCAACCACAAGAGGAAGCUGGAGGAGACGUGGACGGUGGAGGAGGCCGACUUCAACGUGAAAGGCCUCACCUCCGACUACUUCCUGCCGCCGUCAGACCUCAAGAAGGAGGGCGACGACCAGCCCGGCGGAUGA